UCUUUACUCCUUUUGUCCAACAAAAGAUGUCUCAAGUUUGUCAAAAUUUAGAUGUAUCUAGACAUGACUAGUGUAUAUAUGCAUUCAAAUUUAGUCGAAAGUGAGACAUCCUUUGUUGGACGGAGGAGGUAAUAU
rnacentral:pre_miRNA from 1 species